UCUGCAGCUUCACUUCUGAGCCAGCGAGACCCCGAACCCACCAGAAGGCUGAACACAUCCGAACAUCGGAAGAACUCUGGACACGCUGCGUUUAAGAACUGUAACACUCACCGCGAGUGUCCGCGGCUUCAUUUUUGAAAGAACUGGACACUUGUCAAGAGGACCUGCCUGCAGAAAGGAGUUCCCUCUUCUGGUCCCCUGAGAACUGUUCUGUUGUUCAGUAAUGCUCUUCUCAGCCUUGCUUAACCUUCAGUUGUCCACAUACCUCAUUCUUCUGGACACAGGACAAGAACUCAAGACGUGCUGAAUGGGGGGAUUGAAAGAACUGUAACACAAACAGGGCUGAAACAUGCCCACUGCUUGCCAUGUUUCAGGCAAUGAGAAGGAGAGAAGAUCUGUAGCCUUUUGGACACCCCAGACCUAGGGGCUCCCCAAGCCAGGGCUGUGACUACUCUCUUGGGGCUCUGAGUUCCUGGCAUCUCCAAGCUUCAGGGUGCCACCUUGUUCCCCUUGUCCAGACAUAGGUGCCUGCUGUGGAAGCUGCCGUGCAGUACAUCUGGUCCAGCUGCAGCCUCACAUGGAGCCGGCACCUGUGUCAGCACCUGGAGCUGCCUGCCCUGCCACAGCAGCUGGCAUGCCUGGCUGUAUGCAGUGGCUGGACCCUGCACUUGCUCGGCCACACACCACUCAUCUCUUUGUGCCUGGCCCACCCUUGGUGGAUGUCGGAUCCAGGCUGGUAGCAUGAGCCAAGUGCAGCCUGCCAGUCUGAGUGGGCAAAAUGAGCUCAACAGGUGCAAGCAAUACUCAGGCAGAAAGCACCAGUGGACACAGAGGUUUCCAGCUGAUGAAGUGACACACCAAAGAUCCUGUGACAUUUAUUACUAAAUAAAUAGUAUUGCAUAGUUUCUUCA